CCUACGGGGUGCAGCAGUGGGGAAUUUUGGACAAUGGGGGCAACCCUGAUCCAGCCAUUCCGCGUGAGUGAAGAAGGCCUUCGGGUUGUAAAGCUCUUUCGGCCGGGAAGAAAUCGCAUCUCCUAAUACGGGGUGUGGAUGACGGUACCGGAAGAAGAAGCACCGGCUAACUACGUGCCAGCAGCCGCGGUAAUACGUAGGGUGCGAACGUUACUCGGAAUUACUGGAGGCGACGCAUGCAGAGAGAUCUGAAAUCCCCGGGCUUAACCUGGGAACUGCGUUUGUGACUGGUGGGCUUGAGUGCGGCAGAGGGGGGUGGAAUUCCACGUGUAGCAGUGAAAUGCGUAGAGAUGUGGAGGAACACCGAUGGCGAAGGCAGCCCCCUGGGUCGACACUGACGCUCAUGCACGAAAGCGUGGGGAGCAAACAGGAUUAGAUACCCCAGUAGUC
rnacentral:rRNA from 1 species